UUCAUAAAAUGUAUAUUUUCUCUGAAUUCAUAGAAUAAUGUGAAGAUUCUGGGAAAAGUUGGGAUUCUGAGAUUAAAACGUAAAUCUUUCUUAUCAUAAUUCUGGCAGUUUUUGUGUCCUUCUGCUGUGGAAAGUCGUGCAACAUGAAGAUACUGAGAAGAUGCUUACAACCUGUAUUUUUAUUCCAUCCAUAAAUAAAAUCAUGAGCUAUUUUUUUAAUCCAAAUUUGAUCCAAAGGGCCAUCGUUGGUUCCAGACCCGUUCUAGAACAUUCCUCUAAUCUUAAAGUCAUCAUCAGUUUCUUCCUUUUAACAAAUAUUUAUUUGUUCAAAUAUUUAAUAUUUAUAACUGGAAUAUUUGUUCCUCCCUCUCCCACUGCAGUUAGUCCUGUCCUGCAACCCUGUUUUUGCAGCUUAGUGAAGCCAACCAUCACUAACCUGGGGGUGGUUUUGGACCCAGAGAUGCGGAUGGACUCCCACAUUAGCCAGGUGGUUAGAUCCUGCUUUUCCCGGCUUCGCCAGCUACCAAAGAUGAAGUCCAUCCUGAAAGACGUGUCAUAUUUUCUCCCCAAGCCGGACCUGACCGUCAUGUAUCGGUCCAAAAUAGUGUGAUGAUAUUGUGUUUUUUGUAUAUAACAAACUUUUUAACAGACAAAUUUGUCGCAUUCUCCUACACCUCUUCACGGGCUCGCCACAGUAAAUAUUCUAUUUGGCAAGAGAUAAACUUUAUUGUAUUUAUCCUAGUGAAUCUAUAAUUAAACGGGUAAACUAGUAGCACCACAUCCAACAUCAAAGAAAGUAAAAUGUUACUAUCAGGAGAGGGAGAAUGUUUAAGUGGUUAGCAGCAGUGUGCUAGCCGAUGGCCCCCUCCAUGAGGCCACCACAGCUCAGCAGAACAUCGUUGUAGCUUCUUCUGGGGAGAAAAACACUUGGAGAAAAAAUAAAGUUAACAGCUGAAAUAGCAGGAAAUAAUACAGUUAAAGAGCAGAUUGUAGAAGAAAGAAACCCCUGGGUUAAACUGGUCUGUCUACUGCAUAAUGCUGAACUCUAACAUGUGUCCUCAGGGAAGGACCUGAUUGGUGUCCAGAACCUGCUGAAGAAGCACCAGGCUCUGCAGGCUGAGAUCACAGGUCAUGAACCUCGCAUCAAGGCUGUCACCCAGAAAGGAGAGACCAUGUUGGAAGAAGGUCACUUCGCUGGUGAGGAGGUGAAGACUAAACUGUGGGAGCUUCAUGGACGUUGGGACACGCUGAAGGCCAAGGCGUCCCAGAGGAGGCAGGACCUGGAGGACUCUCUGCAGGCCCAGCAGUACUUUGCGGAUGCUAAUGAGGCCGAGUCCUGGAUGAGGGAGAAGGAGCCCAUCGUUGGAAGUCCAGACUAAGGGAAAGACGAGGACUUGGCCGAGGCUCUCCUGAAGAAGCACGAGGCCCUGAUGUCGGACCUGUCGGCUUACGGCAGCAGCAUCCAGGCCCUGAAGGAGCAGGCCCAGUCCUGCAGGGUGAGUUCAGAACCCUCGGCCCGUCAGAACAUUCUUAUCCACCACGUUCUAACACCAGACCUGUUAACCCGAACGCAACAAGGUAAUCAGCAGGUGCUUUUGUCCUGCAGGACCUGAAGGCCAACGAGUCCCGCCUGAGGGACAUCAACAAGGUGGCAUCUGAACUGGAGUCAGAAGGUCUGAUGGCUGAGGAGGCUCCUAUGGUUCAGGCUCAGGUGAGCGUCACCUGUCUGCAGCAGCUGGUCCCUCUCACUUCCUGGUUUAACUCUGCUCGUCUCUGUUUGUAGCAACAAGAACAUCUGGGUUCUGCUCCUGGAAAGGUGCAUGUUGUCCUCCGCCUCCACCAGAACCAGACGUGGUGUUUAUGUUACCACUCAUUUGUUUGUUUGUUUGUUUACAGGAUGAAGCCGACUCUAACACGGCGUCACCCUGGAAGACCGUACGGUUGGGCGUUCAGACGACGGCUAACUUUAAUUCCAUCAAGGUAAGAGGAAGCUCUUCCCUUCCUGUCUGAGCGAUCCGUCUCCAGGUUUCUUCGUCCGGCGUCCAGCCCGCUGGCGUCCACCUUCAUCUCACCUUCAUCUCAUCUCACUUCAUUUAUAGUGCAAUACUUUCACAUUAUCAUUUUCCCACACUUCUGUAUACCUGUAUUUUGUUGUUUUUCAAUAAAGAAUGACAAAUUA